rnacentral:rRNA from 1 species
UACGGGGGGAGCAAGCGUUGUUCGGAUUUACUGGGCGUAAAGGGCGCGUAGGCGGCCACCGCAAGUCAGUUGUGAAAUCUCUGGGCUUAACCCAGAACGGUCAGCUGAUACUGCGGGGCUAGAGUGCAGAAGGGGCAACUGGAAUUCUCGGUGUAGCGGUGAAAUGCGUAGAUAUCGAGAGGAACACCAGUGGCGAAGGCGAGUCCCUGGACAUCUCCUGACACUGAGGCACGAAAGCUAGGGGAGCAAACAGG